rnacentral:tRNA from 1 species
ACAAAGAUAGCUUAAAAAAAAAGCAAAGCACUGAAAAUGCUAACAUAAAGGUUUAAAUCCUUUUCUUAGUA